rnacentral:rRNA from 1 species
CAGGAUUAGAUACCCUGGUAGUCCACGCCGUAAACGAUGUCGACUUGGAGGCUGUUCCCCUGAGGAGUGGCUUCCGGAGCUAACGCGUUAAGUCGACCGCCUGGGGAGUACGGCCGCAAGGUUAAAACUCAAAUGAAUUGACGGGGGCCCGCACAAGCGGUGGAGCAUGUGGUUUAAUUCGAUACAACGCGAAGAACCUUACCUACUCUUGACAUCCAGAGAGCUUUCCAGAGAUGGAUUGGUGCCUUCGGGAACUCUGAGACAGGUGCUGCAUGGCUGUCGUCAGCUCGUGUUGUGAAAUGUUGGGUUAAGUCCCGCAACGAGCGCAACCCUUAUCCUUUGUUGCCAGCGAUUCGGUCGGGAACUCAAAGGAGACUGCCGGUGAUAAACCGGAGGAAGGUGGGGAUGACGUCAAGUCAUCAUGGCCCUUACGAGUAGGGCUACACACGUGCUACAAUGGCGCAUACAAAGAGAAGCGACCUCGCGAGAGCAAGCGGACCUCAUAAAGUGCGUCGUAGUCCGGAUCGGAGUCUGCAACUCGACUCCGUGAAGUCGGAAUCGCUAGUAAUCGUGGAUCAGAAUGCCACGGUGAAUACGUUCCCGGGCCUUGUACACACCGCCCGUCACACCAUGGGAGUGGGUUGCAAAAGAAGUAGGUAGCUUAACCUUCGGGAGGGCGCUUACCACUUUGUGAUUCAUGACUGGGGUGAAGUCGUAACAAGGUAG